rnacentral:snoRNA from 1 species
CGUUGAUAUGAUGAUAAAGUUUCUCGGAAAUUUUUUCUAAAGAAUUAAUGUGUCGACAUGAAAAAUCAGACUACAAUUAUCUGAUCAACG